rnacentral:tRNA from 1 species
GCGGGCAUCGUAUAGUGGCUAUUACCCGAGCUUCCCAAGCUCGUGACGCGGGUUCGAUUCCCGCUGCCCGCUCCA